AUUGAACGCUGGCGGCAGGCCUAACACAUGCAAGUCGAGCGGAUGAAGGGAGCUUGCUCCUGGAUUCAGCGGCGGACGGGUGAGUAAUGCCCAGGGAUCUGCCUGGUAGUGGGGGAUAACGUCCGGAAACGGGCGCUAAUACCGCAUACGUCCUGAGGGAGAAAGUGGGGGAUCUUCGGACCUCACGCUAUCAGAUGAGCCUAGGUCGGAUUAGCUAGUUGGUGGGGUAAAGGCCUACCAAGGCGACGAUCCGUAACUGGUCUGAGAGGAUGAUCAGUCACACUGGAACUGAGACACGGUCCAGACUCCUACGGGAGGCAGCAGUGGGGAAUAUUGGACAAUGGGCGAAAGCCUGAUCCAGCCAUGCCGCGUGUGUGAAGAAGGUCUUCGGAUUGUAAAGCACUUUUAGUUGGGAGGAAGGGCAGUAAGUUAAUACCUUGCUGUUUUGACGUUACCAACAGAAUAAGCACCGGCUAACUUCGUG
rnacentral:rRNA from 1 species